CGCGUAGGUGGUAGUGCAAGUCUGAGGUGGAAUCCCAGGGCUUAACCCUGGAACUGCCUUGGAAACUGCAUUACUUGAGUCAGUGAGGGGAGGGUAGAAUUCCUGGUGUAGCGGUGAAAUGCGUAGAUAUCAGGAGGAAGGCCGGUGGCGAAGGCGGCCCUCUGGCGCUGAACUGACACUGAGGCGCGAAAGCGUGGGGAGCAAACAGGAUUAGAUACCCUGGUAGUCCACGCCCUAAACGGUGGGUACUAGGUGUAGGGCUCGUAAGGGUUCUGUGCCGAAGCGAAAGCAUUAAGUACCCCGCCUGGGGGGUACGGCCGCAAGGUUGAA
rnacentral:rRNA from 1 species